GGGUUGUGAGGUUAAGCGACUAAGCGUACACGGUGGAUGCCCUGGCAGUCAGAGGCGAUGAAGGGCGUGCUAAUCUGCGAUAAGCGCCGGUAAGGUGAUAUGAACCGUUAUAACCGGCGAUACCCGAAUGGGGAAACCCAGUGUGACUCGUCACACUAUCAUUAACUGAAUCCAUAGGUUAAUGAGGCGAACCGGGGGAACUGAAACAUCUAAGUACCCCGAGGAAAAGAAAUCAACCGAGAUUCCCCCAGUAGCGGCGAGCGAACGGGGAGGAGCCCAGAGCCUGAAUCAGCAUGUGUGUUAGUGGAAGCGUCUGGAAAGGCGCGCGAUACAGGGUGACAGCCCCGUACACAAAAGCGCAUGUGCUGUGAGCUCGAUGAGUAGGGCGGGACACGUGGUAUCCUGUCUGAAUAUGGGGGGACCAUCCUCCAAGGCUAAAUACUCCUGACUGACCGAUAGUGAACCAGUACCGUGAGGGAAAGGCGAAAAGAACCCCGGCGAGGGGAGUGAAAAAGAACCUGAAACCGUGUACGUACAAGCAGUGGGAGCCCCACCACCAAAGCAUUUGCUGUACCGCGUUGACGGAGCGAAGCGACGUCAAACCGAUAAAACAGCAGUGUAAAGUGAGCCGCAGGGCGCUUUGCGCGACAGCGCAAAGGC
rnacentral:rRNA from 1 species